rnacentral:misc_RNA from 1 species
GAUGAAGAACGUAGUGAAAUGCGAUAAUUAAUGUGAAUUGCAGAAUUCCGUGAAUCAUCGAGUCUUUGAACGCACAUUGCGCCUCAUGGCAUUCCGUGAGGCAUGCCCAUCUCAGCGUUAGAAAAUAUUCUCAAAUUUUAGUUUUGUGCUAAAAUUUGGAUCAUGUCAAGGAAGCUAUUACUAUUAUUGUGAUCGCUCUUUGGAAAUUGAUAGGUCUUUGAGUUGCUACUCAUAGAACGUGAUGAAUCUUUCUUCGUUCUAUUGUAAUUCACUCUGGUAGUCCUAAAAGUUGUAUGCCUGUGGCAUAUCUUGUAAUUUGACCUGAGAUUGGGUAGGGAUACCCGCUGAACUUAAGCAUAUCAAUAAGCGGAGGA